AUGGACGGCUAGAAGUCUGCUUACGACAAAAGUAGCCUUUUAUGUCUGGAAAAACGGGACAAAAAUGAUCAUCAAAGUCAUUCAGUGUUGUAUUUAUCAUCAUGGACAUCUUAUACAAUGUCGCAGAAAAGACACUGAAGUUCCAGGCCGCACUACAAAUCUUCUGAAAGGGCCAUGAUCGCACGGAAGCCCUGUCUGGAAUGGCGCAAGUGUUAACUUCCAACCAAACAAACCCCAAAAAUGGCAGCAACAGAGGUACUAUGGCAGUGCGUGUGAUGGAGCGGCAGCGAGCUGUGACGAACACAGAAAGACAAGCUGGAAAAAAAGGAGAAAGACAAGAAGAACAGGGAAUGUGAUGGGUGUGAUAAGAUCCACACAAGAAACAUCAUCCACAAGUGUGUAACAAUUUGAGGAAAAAAACUGAGAAAGAUAAAGAGAGAGAAAGAGUGAGAGGAUAGAGGGCAGAAGAGAAGCAGUGACAAAAUCAACAAAACCAAUAGAAGUAGUAUGAGUAUGUAAGGCAGAUAGAAAAUGUGUGUGUGCAUCUGCUAGGUUUUUUUUUUUUUUAUUGUUGUUGUUGCUGUAGUAUGCUGGAGUUUACUAUCAGUGUGUUCCAGUGUUCACCAUGUCCCAGUGUCUCGGCCAGUCUCAUCUGAGCAAGAAUUGUUUAUUACUCUCGAGAUAACAUCAGCAAAACACAUCUCUGGACGCACGCUACAGCAGUGAGCCACCUCUCCACUCAUGGCUACCGUCUGUCUCCCGCCCCUCUCUCUCUCCCUCUCUCCCUCUGUCUGUGUCAUCACACGAGUACAAAAGUGCCGCUGUAGACAUUACAUAAGCCUUUUGUAGAGGACUGCAGGUAGUGGGUCACACUUCAAAAGUGAGAAGGAGGGUGUUUUGUGAUGACGGCACAGGGGAGGCAAAAAGGCUGCACUGGUGUGUGUCUGUGUGUGUGUGUGUGUGUGUGUGUGUGUGUGUCUGUGUGUGUGUGUGUGUGAAUUUUAAGAAAUCAUCAAGAAAUCAAAAUAUAAAAGUAUAUUUAUUCAAGCCCUGUGUAUGGAUAGAAUUUUGAGGUACUUACUGUACACUAUAUUCAAGUUACUACUUUACAGAUAGAUUUGAUUUACAAAACAUAUGAUAAUCUUACAUUUUUUGGAUUAAACUACCCAGUACUCUUUUAUUAUCAGUUUUUAGAUAUGACAACACAGUUAUCAGGACCUAUUUGUGCGCAAUAUUUGCUGGUUGCGAGUAAAGUCAGGGGUAAGGAACCUUUUUCCCAUCAAAGGCUAUUUAAAAAAUGUUUAGACAUGGUUCAGCUACUCUUUUUCAAAGAUGAGGCAUGACAUGGCGUUCAGAGACAUUACGGUCAAAGGUUUUUUGCAUUGUAAUCUCCAUUGUUAGGACAUUUUAUUUUUUGAUUUAGAUAACUCCGAUUUGACAGUGUGUUUGUGGAGGGGCGUAUAAAGAAACUUUGACUUUC